UACGGGGGAGCAAGCGUUGUUCGGAUUUACUGGGCGUAAAGGGCGCGUAGGCGGUCAGCACAAGUCAGUUGUGAAAUCUACCGGGCCGUUAACUUCGGAAAGGUCAACUGAUACUGUGCGACUAGAGUGCGGAAGGGGCAACUGGAAUUCUCGGUGUAGCGGUGAAAUGACGUAGAUAUCGAGAGGAACACCUGCGGCGAAGGCGGGUUGCUGGGCCGACACUGACGCUGAUGCGCGAAAGCCAGGGGAGGCGAACGGG
rnacentral:rRNA from 1 species